ACAUUUUAAAAUAGCUAACUUUAUUAUCAGUGAAAAGAUAGGCACAAAGUGGAUUCAAACCUGCUUAACUUUAUUGGAACUAGCUCAGUUGAUUACAGAACAGGGUCUCCAUCAUUAUGGGGCCACAUACAUUUUAAAUCAAAGGUGAUUUCUGUCCAGCCAUCUGACAUUCCAAAUGUGAAUGAGCAAUUGAGAUAAUGAGAUUGC
rnacentral:lncRNA from 1 species